UACGUAGGGUGCAAGCGUUAAUCGGAAUUACUGGGCGUAAAGCGUGCGCAGGCGGCUUUGCAAGACAGAUGUGAAAUCCCCGGGCUUAACCUGGGAACUGCAUUUGUGACUGCAUGGCUGGAGUGCGGCAGAGGGGGAUGGAAUUCCGCGUGUAGCAGUGAAAUGCGUAGAUAUGCGGAGGAACACCGAUGGCGAAGGCAGUUCUCUGGGACGGUACUGACGCUGAGACGCGAAAGCGUGGGGAGCAAACAGG
rnacentral:rRNA from 1 species